CCUCACCCAUAGCCUGCCUUUCGAAAUAAAGUCAUCCGGUUCAAAAUCUUAUGUUCCCAAUUUCGGUCACGUAAAAUUCUGGAAAGUUUACUCUAAAAUAAACAUGAAAAUGAUAACGAUGCUGAAGUACAAAAGUGGAAUUCAGAGCCCUCUGUGGAAAGAAAACUAUAUUAAAUUGUAGAUUUUUAAAUAACCGUGAUCAAGGCAUGAAAAGCAUAAUUGUUAUUACCUUAUUGUUGCCUAGUGCUGUCACGUGAAGUGUCUUAUUCAAAGCAUUCUGGUUGCAUUGCUGCCAUCUGGAGUGCGAGUCAUAGCCGUGGCAACAACAGGACCUUUGAUGAAGCGGAAACCUGCCUGGCCAGUGGUCCCAGUGCCCUCUAGCACAGUGACAUUGGGAAACUGCUUACAGUUAGAGUCUGAAUUUUUCAAAUGGAAGGACCGGAAAAUGAACUCAUCUGAUUGCCACAUUUUCCACCUGAGAAGACAGAGCCCCAAGCCCCAGGAUGUUCUCCAAGAAGCCUUUGUUCAUGUGGGUAAACUGAGUGACUAUAGGAUUUUGAUGAAGAUUAAAGUAUUCUGCAUUUAAUAUAUGUAGAAGGAAUGCAUUUUGUAAAUUGAUGAGGGUAUAUUGGUGAAGAUGAUCUAUCGGUGAUGAGGACCACAUACAUACCACAAGUUUCUAAACACUCUUUAGUGCUUGAAAAACAAGAAACGAGGGCAAUUUAGUUGGCUUCCACAAGAGGCCUGUACAGAUGUGGAAGAGUGUUUAUACGGAAUUAAAAUGUACAAGCAGAAUUUCCCACAGGCCAUCAUUUGCAAUGCUGUGCACUUGGAGUUUGUGCAAUAUUUUCCUGAUCUGCCUUUAUCUCAUAUUAUCCAGGCCCACCACAGUGACACAGAGUGGAGAAGUUUUCAGAACUAGCGACCUACAGCAGAGACCCUUGUUGGGCCCUCAGUACACAGGUGAACUAACAGGUCCAAGGAUGUGUCUUUAAAGAAAAGGGAAGGCAAGGGGAGCUAU